rnacentral:piRNA from 1 species
UUACAGUGAUGGCUGACCAGGACUCC